GUUUUAAUAGUUUAAACUAUAAAACUUUGGUCUUGUAAACCAAAAAUGAAUUCUUAUUCUUAAAACU
rnacentral:tRNA from 1 species